AAUAAUAUAAUUCUAUUAUGCUAGAGUAAUUAGCAGGAAGGUAGCCAUGCUUGGAGUUGAGUAAGUCGAAGGAAGGCUGGUAAGAUAUGAGGAUAGAAAAAAAGCUUAUAAAACCUGACUUGGGUUUCUCAAAGAGCAUCUUAUAUUCUGAAUACCAGCCUUAAUUUGUGAAAAAGGAAUUUUAAAAUUAGGCUAUGUCCUGGGAGUGUUAGGUGUGAGGUACAAAGCAUACAAUUUGCAGAUUAGG